CAGACGAGGAGCUUGCUCCUUUGACGUUAGCGGCGGACGGGUGAGUAACACGUAGGUAACCUACCUAUAAGACUGGGAUAACUUCGGGAAACCGGAGCUAAUACCGGAUAAUAUUUCGAACCGCAUGGUUCGAUAGUGAAAGAUGGCUUUGCUAUCACUUAUAGAUGGACCUGCGCCGUAUUAGCUAGUUGGUAAGGUAACGGCUUACCAAGGCAACGAUACGUAGCCGACCUGAGAGGGUGAUCGGCCACACUGGAACUGAGACACGGUCCAGACUCCUACGGGAGGCAGCAGUAGGGAAUCUUCCGCAAUGGGCGAAAGCCUGACGGAGCAACGCCGCGUGAGUGAUGAAGGUCUUCGGAUCGUAAAACUCUGUUAUUAGGGAAGAACAAACGUGUAAGUAACUGUGCACGUCUUGACGGUACCUAAUCAGAAAGCCACGGCUAACUACGUGCCAGCAGCCGCGGUAAUACGUAGGUGGCAAGCGUUAUCCGGAAUUAUUGGGCGUAAAGCGCGCGUAGGCGGUUUUUUAAGUCUGAUGUGAAAGCCCACGGCUCAACCGUGGAGGGUCAUUGGAAACUGGAAAACUUGAGUGCAGAAGAGGAAAGUGGAAUUCCAUGUGUAGCGGUGAAAUGCGCAGAGAUAUGGAGGAACACCAGUGGCGAAGGCGACUUUCUGGUCUGUAACUGACGCUGAUGUGCGAAAGCGUGGGGAUCAAACAGGAUUAGAUACCCUGGUAGUCCACGCCGUAAACGAUGAGUGCUAAGUGUUAG
rnacentral:rRNA from 1 species